UCCGGUUUGUCACCGGCAGUCUCGCGUGAGUCCCCAACUUAAUGCUGGCAACACGCGACAAGGGUUGCGCUCGUUGCGGCACUUAAGCCAACACCUCACGGCACGAGCUGACGACAGCCAUGCAGCACCUGUGCUAGCCCCUUACGGACACGGGCUUUCACCCGCUUUAACUAGCAUGUCAAGCCUAGGUAAGGUUCUUCGCGUUGCAUCGAAUUAAGCCAUAUGCUCCACCGCUUGUGCGGGCCCCCGCCAAUUCCUUUGAGUUUCAACCUUGCGGUCGUAGUCCCCAGGCGGCUCACUUAAUGCGUUAGCUGCGGCACCGAAGGUUACCCCCCGACACCUAGUGAACAUCGUUUAUGGCCAAGACUAC
rnacentral:misc_RNA from 1 species